CGCGGUAAUUCCAGCUCCAAUAGCGUAUAUUAAAGUUGUUGUGGUUAAAAAGCUCGUAGUUGGAUCUCAACAGCCUUGAAGCGGUUAACUUUGUAGUUUUACUGCUUUAUAGGCUGUGCUUUUGCUGGAGGUUUAGGGGUGCUCUUGAUCGAGUGUCUCUGGAUGCCAGCAGGUUUACUUUGAAAAAAUUAGAGUGCUCAAAGCAGGCUAAAAUGCCUGAAUAUUCGUGCAUGGAAUAAUAGAAUAGGAUGUCGAUCCUAUUUUGUUGGUUUUCGGGACUCGACAUAAUGAUAAAUAGGGACAGUCGGGGGCAUUUGUAUUCAAACGACAGAGGUGAAAUUCUUGGACCGUUUGAAGACAAACUACUGCGAAAGCAUUUGCCAAGAAUGUUUUCAUUAAUCAAGAACGAAAGUUAGGGGUUCGAAGGCGAUUAGAUACCGCCCUAGUUCUAACCAUAAACGAUGCCAGCUAGCGAUCUGCCUGCGUUUUUACUGUAGACUGGGCAGGAAGCUUCCGGGAAACCAAAGCAUUUGGGUUCCAGGGGAAGUAUGGUUGCAAAGCUGAAACUUAAAGGAAUUGACGGAAGGGCACCACCAGGAGUGGAGCCUGUGGCUUAAUUUGACUCAACACGGGAAAUCUCACCAGGCCCGGACACUGGAAGGAUUGACAGAUUGAUAGCUCUUUCUUGAUUCGGUGGGUGGUGGUGCAUGGCCGUUCUUAGUUGGUGGAGUGAUUUGUCUGGUUAAUUCCGAUAACGAACGAGACUCUGUCCUGCUAAAUAGUUUCUACUUCUCUUUUGAGUAGAAAUUUCUUCUUAGAGGGACUGGUGACUCUUAGUCACACGAGAUUGAGCAAUAACAGGUCUGUGAUG
rnacentral:rRNA from 1 species